UACGUAGGGUGCGAGCGUUGUCCGGAAUUACUGGGCGUAAAGAGCUCGUAGGUGGUUUGUCGCGUUGUUCGUGAAAACUCACAGCUUAACUGUGGGCGUGCGGGCGAUACGGGCAGACUGGAGUACUGCAGGGGAGACUGGAAUUCCUGGUGUAGCGGUGGAAUGCGCAGAGUAUCAGGAGGAACACCGGUGGCGAAGGCGGGUCUCUGGGCAGUGAACUGACCGCUGGAGGAGCGAAAGCGUCGGGGAGCGAACAGG
rnacentral:rRNA from 1 species